AAUUCAGUAACAAUAAUAAAUAAUAAAAAGCAAAUCAUGAGAUAGAGAUAAGCACAAGUUAGUGUGUUAGUAUGGUUGUUCUUAAAUUAGUAUUGUAUAAGCAUUUAGUUGGUAGCUCUUCACAAGUUAAAAGAAAGCACACAGUCAGAAGUCUGUGAAAAAGUUUGCAGCAAGACAGAAAAUAGGCAGGGCUUAUUUGGAAUUUUUGUAAACAUUUGAGGUCAGACUUUUAAUGGGGUUAAUCUCGAUGACGGAAUCUUAUUGCUGACUUGAUGUUCUAGAG
rnacentral:lncRNA from 1 species